ACGGAAGGCAGCAGUGGGGAAUAUUGCACAAUGGGGGAAACCCUGAUGCAGCGAUGCCGCGUGAAGGAAGAAGUUCUUCGGAAUGUAAACUUCUAUCAGCAAGGAAGAAAACGGACAGUACUUGACUAAGAAGCCCCGGCUAACUACGUGCCAGCAGCCGCGGUAAUACGUAGGGGGCAAGCGUUAUCCGGAAUUACUGGGUGUAAAGGGUGCGUAGGCGGUAAAGCAAGUUAGAUGUGAAACCUCGGGGCUUAACCCCGAGCAUGCGUCUAAAACUACUGGACUAGUGUAUAGGAGAGGAAAGCGGAAUUCCUGGUGUAGCGGUGAAAUGCGUAGAUAUCAGGAAGAACACCGGCGGCGAAGGCGGCUUUCUGGACUAAAACUGACGCUGAGGCACGAAAGCGUGGGGAGCAAACAGGAUUAGAUACCCUGGUA
rnacentral:rRNA from 1 species